UCAAAUAUCAAAUUCUCUGAGCUUCAGAUUUUGCUCGUCGAGAAGAGCGGAGAGACGAAAUCAGGUCCGUGUUUGCACAAUGGCGACCGAAUUCCGCUCUUCGCCUCUUUCAAGUACGCCGAUAGUCUCACCGUCGUCGGAAUCUGCUGGUGCUGCUGGGUUGUUCUCCAUGCCGGAUCCAAAGACGGAUUGAUUCAGGUCUGAUCUGAUUAUGCAUAGUGUCGCCUUGUAUUUUGAUGAUUUCUGAGCUCUUUAAUGCUGAUUUAGCGGUUUUUUAGCUGAAAUGUAACUAAUUUGAUUCAAAGUUCCAAGUUUUAAGUUUCCGGUUUUGAUUCCGUUUGCUUGUACACAAGCAUUACAUAAUUUCUGCUCCUCAUUAAGGCUUAGAUGUCGUAGCAAUCUUAAGGGUACAGGUCAUAUGGUUUUCUUUACUGCAAAUACAAUCGGGUUCCUUUUGCUCAUUUGUGCACGGAGGCUUGAGGUUUCAUGCAAAUGGAUUGUUUGGAGAUUGAAAUGAGAGGUUGUUGAACGAUACAGAUAACAAGAGAAUGAGAGUAAGAGUAAGAAAUGGGGAGGUGGACGACUAUGCUUCAGUGUUUUUUUUUUUAUAAUAGAGAACUCUCCUAUGUGUUUCUUCAGCUAAAAGGCAAUAUGGCCAUCACUAGAUUUUGUUUUAUUUCUUACAGUAAGUUUUCACC
rnacentral:lncRNA from 1 species